GAUAACUCAUUAUCAAGUUUUUUUAACACACAUUUGGAGAAAGAGGAACAAUUAUUCCAACAACAACAAAAAUGACAAGAAGACCAUUAUCAGACCAUGCACUCUUAUGUAGAUACCAGUUUAGAUUCCAUGCGAUAUUAUGUCGAUGAACAAAAUAAGAAUACGCUGUAGAAAUUAUCUGAAUGGAAAUCAGACAUGGAAGCCAUUAUUAGUUGUACGCAAGAAGACAUUCCUAUUGGUACAUGUCCAAUUCCCGAUGAUCGACCGAAGGAUGCAUCAACGUCUCAACAAGUCGAAAAUUCU
rnacentral:lncRNA from 1 species